rnacentral:rRNA from 1 species
GACGAACGCUGGCGGCGUGCUUAACACAUGCCAGUCGAACGGAAAGGCUCCAGCUUGCUGGAGUACUCGAGUGGCGAACGGGUGAGUAACACGUGGGUAAUCUGCCCUGCACUCUGGGAUAAGCCUGGGAAACUGGGUCUAAUACUGGAUAUGACCUUUCUCCUUAUGGGGUUUGGUGGAAAGUUUUUCGGUGUAGGAUGAGCCCGCGGCCUAUCAGCUUGUUGGUGGGGUGAUGGCCUACCAAGGCGACGACGGGUAGCCGGCCUGAGAGGGUGAUCGGCCACAUUGGGGAUGGGAUACGGCCCAGACGCCUACGGGGGGGAGGAGGGGGGAAUAUUGCACAAUGGGCGGAAGCCUGAUGCAGCGACGCCGCGUGAGGGAUGACGGCCUUCGGUUGUAAACCUCUUUCAGCAGGGACGAAGCGUAAGUGACGGUACCUGCAGAAGAAGCACCGGCUAACUAUGUG